rnacentral:rRNA from 1 species
CAGUCGCCACGGGAAUACGUAGGGUGCAAGCGUUAAUCGGAAUUACUGGGCGUAAAGCGUGCGCAGGCGGUUCUAUAAGACAGAUGUGAAAUCCCCGGGCUCAACCUGGGAACUGCAUUUGUGACUGUAGAGCUGGAGUGCGGCAGAGGGGGAUGGAAUUCCGCGUGUAGCAGUGAAAUGCGUAGAUACGCGGAGGAACACCGAUGGCGAAGACAAUCCCCUGGGCCUGCACUGACGCUCAUGCACGAAAGCGUGGGGAGCAAACAGGAUUAGAUACCCCUGUAGUCCCUGUCUCUUAUAC